GACGAACGCUGGCGGCGUGCCUAAUACAUGCAAGUCGAGCGGACCCUUCGGGGUUAGCGGCGGACGGGUGAGUAACACGUAGGUAACCUGCCUGUAAGAUCGGGAUAACUACCGGAAGCGGUAGCUAAGACCGGAUAACUGGUUUCCUCGCAUGAGGGAAGUAUGAAACACGGAGCAAUCUGUGGCUUACAGAUGGACCUGCGGCGCAUUAGCUGGUUGGUGGGGUAACGGCUCACCAAGGCGACGAUGCGUAGCCGACCUGAGAGGGUGAUGGGCCACACUGGGACUGGGACACGGCCCAGACUCCUACGGGAGGCAGCAGUAGGGAAUCUUCCGCAAUGGACGCAAGUCUGACGGAGCAACGCCGCGUGAGUGAUGAAGGUUUUCGGAUCGUAAAGCUCUGUUGCCCUAGACGAACAGCAAGGGGAGUAACUGCCCUUUGUGUGACGGUAUAGGAGAAGAAAGCCCCGGCUAACUACGUGCCAGCCGCCGCAGUAAGAC
rnacentral:rRNA from 1 species